UUGCUUCUGCCAGAAUCCAUGUUAGGGUUGUUGGGAUGAAUUCUGGUGAGCUUACUAUUAAUCAUGUAGGUUCUUUUAUUGUUUUCAUAUAUUUUCUCUGCAAUGCUUUUUACCCUAAGAAUAAAACAGGGUUGCAUAGGAAGAACUGUAUAGUACUUAUAACUUUUGACAAUCACACUAUUAUCGGUCUUGGAAGAGAAACAAGCAGAGGUGGAUGGGAGGUCUAUUUCUUCUGGGAAUAAUAUAGUGAAGGCAGGGAACGGUGCAUCCUGAAAAUACCCCCCAGUAGAAACAGAAAGAGACAUGUAUCUGCUGAAAGCCCGAGAAUGAUGCCCAUGCAGGACCACUGAAGAGAAAUACAGAUGCUGUUACCCUGAACUGUGACAAACAGAACUAUGUAGGUCUUGGAAAAUACCUGGAAAGAAAACAAUUCUUACCCUUGUGGUAGUGGUGGAAGGAGCUCAAGCUUGCAUCUAUAGCAACAGAUACUGGUCCCACUGAAGCCACUGUCUUUUCAAGGGCCCCAUGUAUAGCAAGAUGGAUAUAAAUUCUGAUGCAAUGAUGGAGUCUCCUGCUUCCUUUGGCACUUUGAGAAUAUUGCCACACAUUCAGGUAAAAUUCAAAAUAUGGGGUUUUAUUCAAUU